UACGUAGGGGGCAAGCGUUGUCCGGAUUUAUUGGGCGUAAAGAGCGUGUAGGCGGCUAGGUAGGUCCGUUGUGAAAACUCGAGGCUCAACCUCGAGACGCCGAUGGAAACCAUCUAGCUAGAGUCCGGAAGAGGAGAGUGGAAUUCCUGGUGUAGCGGUGAAAUGCGCAGAUAUCAGGAAGAACACCCGUGGCCAAGGCGGCUCUCUAGUACGGUACUGACGCUGAGACGCGAAAGCGUGGGGAGCGAACAGG
rnacentral:rRNA from 1 species